GAUCCCUGAUUCGUGAACAUAACAUACUCCCAAGUUUAAUGUGAAUGAGCUCAUUUUAUUUUAUUUAUUUAUUUUUGUUUGUGAAGUCCCCAGUGUUUCACUUCCUAUUUUAUUAGAAAAUGUUGAAUUCAUGUCAUUUUUGUUGUGUUGCUUGUCCUAUUUCCAUUUUUUUUCUUCCUAGCUUUCCUAAAGAAUCUCCAACUUAUCUUUCUUGGUGCAUUUUCCUCUUUCCCCCUAACUUCCCCACACGUAAAAGCCCAAAUUUUCAUAGCUUCUCACAUGCACGAGAGGAGCUAGACAGGCAGAAUAAGCAAGUUCAGACAUCUGAUGCCAUACCUGCAUUUUAUGUUUAAAGUUCCUCCAAGAAAGCAAGCUUAAAUUAAAUAUUUUACGACACACUUGUUUUCAUAAUUAUACAAACAUCUUCUAUGAGAACCUCUCAUAGUUGAGUCCCUAUAUAUCUCUGGAAAGCCACAUUUACAUUUUACAUUAUCAACUUAAGGCUUUACAGGAUGGAAAUCUGAUAGAAGUGCCACAAGACAAGAAAAUUUUGCUUUGACAUGAAAUUGAUGCACUGAACAUUUGGGAUCCCAAUUAGUUAAAUAUCGUAGGUAACAAUGUGUAUGACAGCUCAUCCUUCAUAGCGCUUCACUCUAGGGGUGUAAAUAAGCCAAGCCGAGCUAUGAAUAGCUUCAGCUCGGUUCGCUAUAUUUUUUCAGGUUGUAGCUCAACUCGAGCUUUAAUAUUAUAGCUCAAGCUUGGCUUGUUUUAUAAAUACCAAGCUCGAGCUCAACAAAAGCUUGUUUAUAUUAUAAACGAGCCAAGCUUUUGUUUGGCUUGUCUAUAUUAUAAUGAACAAGCUUGGGCUUGAUUUGUAGCUCAGCUCAUCUAUAUUAUAAACUAACUGAGUUCGAGCUCGUUAAUAUUAUUAUAUUA
rnacentral:misc_RNA from 1 species